AUCAAGAAGAAGGAACUACCUCCCCACCAUCAACACCCAAAGCUGAUAUUCUAUUUAAACUACUUCUUGUCAGUACAUAAAAUGAUAUAGGACAUUAAAACAUUUAUGUAUAUCGUACAUUAAAUUAUUUUCCCCAAGCAUAUAAGCAUGUAAUAUAUAUUUAAUGAUUUAGGACAUACAUUUAAACUCAACUAUAAAUUCAUAACAACAUGUCUAUUCUCGAAUACAUUAAAAUAAUGCUUAUUAGACAUAUCUGUGUUAUUAGACAUGCACCAUUAAGUCAUAAACCUUUCUCUUCCAUAUGACUAUCCCUGUCCCCAAUUGGUCUCUAUUUCUACCAUCCUCCGUGAAAUCAACAACCCGCCCACUCGUCCCCCUCUUCUCGCUCCGGGCCCAUUCGUCCUGGGGGUGACUAUACUGAAACUUUACCAGGCAUCUGGUUCUUACUUCAGGGCCAUCAAUUGGUUUAUCGUCCAUACGUUCCCCUUAAAUAAGACAUCUCGAUGGUAACGGGUCUAAUCAGCCCAUGAUCAACAUAACUGUGGUGAUAUACAUUUGGUAUUUUUUAAUUUUCGGAUGCCUUCCUCAACAUAGCCGUCAAGGCAUGAAGGUCAGCACAAAGUCCUGUGGAACCUUUUAGUUAAGGGUCAUUUAUCCUCAUAGACAAAGCUCGAAAGACUAUUUUAUUCAUGUUUGUAAGACAUAAAUAUUUAUAAAUACUGAAAAAUCUGUCAACAAACCCCCCCACCCCCUACACCUGAAACUUCAAUGCCAAACCCCAAAAACAUUAAAGCAAGAAUUAAAUAAAACAAAAAGCUACUUAAUUCUUAAAAGGCUUCUCCAUUCUAGUAGACCACAAAAUUUUAACUUAAAUCUUAGCAUUGGUAAAAUUUCCCGACACAAAAUCUUUCCUUCUAACUAAACCCUCUUUACUUGCCUACCCUCAGAAAAUUCCACAUACACCAAA
rnacentral:lncRNA from 1 species